rnacentral:rRNA from 1 species
AACGAACGCUGGCGGCAGGCUUAACACAUGCAAGUCGAACGAGAUCUUCGGAUCUAGUGGCAGACGGGUGAGGAACACGUGGGAACAUUCCUUUCAGUUCGGAAUAACGUUGGGAAACUAACGCUAAUACCGGAUACGUCCUUCGGGAGAAAGAUUUAUCGCUGAGAGAUUGGCCCGCGUCUGAUUAGCUAGUUGGCGAGGUAACGGCUCACCAAGGCUACGAUCAGUAGCUGAUCUGAGAGGAUGAUCAGCCACAUUGGGACUGAGACACGGCCCAAACUCCUACGGGAGGCAGCAGUGGGGAAUAUUGGACAAUGGGCGCAAGCCUGAUCCAGCCAUGCCGCGUGAGUGAUGAAGGCCUUCGGGUUGUAAAGCUCUUUUGUCCGGGAAGAUAAUGACGGUACCUUACCAGAAAGCCACGGCUAACUAUGUGCCAGCCGCCGCCGUAA